rnacentral:rRNA from 1 species
CAUGGAUACUUAGUACGGCGAGUGAGCGGUAAAAGCUCAAAUUUGAAAUCUGGUACUUUCAGUGCCCGAGUUGUAAUUUGUAGAAUUUGUCUUUGAUUAGGUCCUUGUCUAUGUUCCUUGGAACAGGACGUCAUAGAGGGUGAGAAUCCCGUUUGGCGAGGAUACCUUUUCUCUGUAAGACUUUUUCGAAGAGUCGAGUUGUUUGGGAAUGCAGCUCAAAGUGGGUGGUAAAUUCCAUCUAAAGCUAAAUAUUGGCGAGAGACCGAUAGCGAACAAGUACAGUGAUGGAAAGAUGAAAAGAACUUUGAAAAGAGAGUGAAAAAGUACGUGAAAUUGUUGAAAGGGAAGGGCAUUUGAUCAGACAUGGUGUUUUUUGCAUGCACUUGCCUCUCGUGGGCUUGGGCCUCUCAAAAAUUUCACUGGGCCAACAUCAAUUCUGGCAGCAGGAUAAAUCAUUAAGAAUGUAGCUACUUCGGUAGUGUUAUAGCUUUUUGGAAUACUGUUAGCCGGGAUUGAGGACUGCGCUUCGGCAAGGAUGUUGGCAUAAUGGUUAAAUGCCGCCCGUCUG